ensembl:lncRNA
AAGUUCCUGCCCUUCUGGCUGUCACGAAAGUCACGGAGGUGGCUCUUGUUCCCCUCAGAGAGCAGGGUGUUCGCAUUCUCAACUAUCUAGACGAUUGGCCGAUACUAGCACAAUCUCGGGAUCAGUUGUGCGAGCACAGGGACCUGGUGCUCCGGCACCUCAGCCUGUUGGGCCUUUGGGUCAACUGGGGAAAGAGCAAACUCUCACCGAUGCAGAGGAUCUCUUUUCUCGGUAUGGAGUUGGAUUCGGUCGAACAGACAGCACGCCCCACAGAGGAACGUGCGCUGUCGGUGCUAGCCUGCUUGAAUACGUUCAAGUUCAGGACAGCAGUCCAGCUGAAACUUUUUCAGAGGCUCCUGGGGCAUAUGGUGGCUGCAGCAGCACUUACACUGCUCGGCCUGUUGCAUAUGAGACCGCUCCAGCACUGGCUUUAUGUCCGAGUCCCAAGGUGGGCGUGGAAGUGCGGCACUCACCGGAUCCAAGUUACACCGGCCUGUCACCAAACCCUCAUCCCGUGGUCAGAUCUUGUGUUUCUCCGGGCAGAGGUGCUCCUAGAGCAGAUCUCCGGGUAUGCUGUGGUUUACACGGAUGCCUCCACCACCGGCUGGGGGGCCACGUACAAUGGGCAUGCAGUCUCAGGGGUUUGGACGGGCCCACAGCUGCGGUGGCACAUCAAUUGCCUAGAGUUGUUAGCAGUGCGCCUUGCCUUGAACCAUCUCAAAGGUCACGUAUGAGGCAAGCACGUGCUGGUCCGAACGGACAACACAGCGACUGUUGCGUACAUCAACUGACAAGGUGGUCUGCGCUCCCAUUGCAUGUCACAACUCGCCCGCCACCUCCUCCUUUGGAGUCGGAAGGUGCUGAGGUCACUUCUUGCUGUUCACAUUCCGGGCCUGUUCAACCGUACAGCCGACAAGCUGUCUCGAGCAAUGCUCCCGGGAGAAUGGCGACUCCAUCCCCUGAUGGUCCAGCUCAUUUGGAGACGGUUUGGAGACCUGUUUGCUUCACCAGAGACUUCUCACUGCCAGUUGUUCUCAGCAUGGACUCACUGGCACACAGCUGUGAGCCAGUGAGCCUUCUCGCACAGACAUUAUGCGAAGUCCGGGAGGACGAGGAGCAAGUCUUGCUAGUGGUGCCAUAUUGGCCCACUCGGACCUGGUUCCCCAAACUAUCUCCUCCGUGGCCGAUUCCUCUGAGGAAGGAUCUACUAACUCAGAGACGGGGCACCGUUUGGCACCCGUCUAGGUGACCUACCCCAGGAGGUAGUGAACACCAUCACUUCAGGAAGAGCACCGUCUACGAGACACACUUAUGCCUUGAAGUGGAACCUGUUCAUCGAGUGGUGUUCUUCUUGCCGAGAGGACCCCCGAAGAUGCCAGAUUGUGGUCGUGCUUUCCUUUCUGCAGCAAGGGGUGGAGCAAAGGCUGUCUCCCUCCACCCUCAAAGUCCAGGUUGCUGCUAUUGCUGUGUACCAUGACCCCGUGAAUGGCAAGUCUUUAGGUAAGCAUGACCUCGUCAUCAGGUUCCUUAGAGGGGCCAGGAGGUUAAAUCGUUCCCG